AUAGCUAUAUAUACAAGAUUUUUUGCCACAACACAUACACACAUUGGAUUUGUAUGCUAUUAUUCUACAUGUAGGCCCUCUUAACCAUCCUCAAACUGCCCUAACAUUUAUUUGUGCAGUCUGACUCUUUUUACUAGCCGUUGUCAAGGCAUUUACACAAAUUUGAGUACAGUACUAAUAAAUAAAUAACUAUUAUUGUAGCUCAUCAGCAAUCAUAAUUAUUCUUCUGCAGGUAGGCCUUCCUAACCACCCUCCAAGUGAGCUAGCUGUCUGAAUCUUAAUACUAGUCCCUGUCAGGGCACACAUUUGAGGUAGGCCAUCCUAACCACCCUCCAAGUGAGCUAGCUGUCUGAAUCUUAAUACUGGUCCCUGUCAGGUCACAAAUUUGAGUACCAAAUAAGGGCAUGCAGUACAACAGAUGUGCACCUGCAGCUGCAUAGCAACAAAGAUUUUUUUUUGCUGUUCUUGCAAAGAAGAAAAGAAGUUGGAGUGAGUUUAGACAUGGUUUGAGAGCUGUUUGAAAAAACUGUGGAACUAGGUAAGUUUCCCUCAACAUGCUGAACAAUGCUGUACAAUGUAAUUGCACAGCUAUUGUAUUGUACCAGGUGUCGUACAGUACACAAGGGAGCAUCUGUACAAUGUAAUUGCACAGCUAUUGUAUUGUACCAGGUGUCGUACAGUACACAGGGGAACAUCUGUACAAUGUAAUUGCACAGCUAUUGUAUAAUAAUUAUUGUACCAAUUGUACCAGGGUGUCAUACAGUACACAGGGGGAGCAUCUGUACAAUGUAAUUGCACAACUAUUGUAUUGUACCAGGUGUCAUACAGUACACAGGGGAGCAUCUGUACAAUUAAUUGCACAGCUAUUGUAUAAUAAUUAUUGUACCAAUUGUACCAGGGUGUCAUACAGUACACAGGGGAAGUAUCCCCCCUGGUUCCAACCCCUCCCCCCCUAAAAUUUGCAUUCAGGUAUUAGUAAUGUUGUAUGACUGAGUAUCCAUAGUCUGUAUAGCUACUAACCAGGGUAUUGAAAUAACAUGCAGUUGACUUUUUUUAAAAGAAUGCCUUAUAUUUCCCCCCUCUACUUUAAAAUCCUGUAUGACACCCUGUAAUAACUCUACAAUAUAAUAAUUAUGCAGGAAGGACAAGCAAGUAAAAGGUUGAAUGGGGGCUCAACAAAGUGGAGACCAAUUGAAGCCUAUAUUGCCCAAGUUUAAUAGCACAAUAAGUGAGUUAUUUACUUCUUCUAAUGAAAGCACCGCGGGUGCUGAUGCCUCGGUGGAGGUGCCAAAGCUACAUAACAUAAAACUACUAAUAGCUAGCUUUUAUACACACAUUGAUUGAUGAUAAUUAUUUUUGCUGCGCAUGCAAUCGCAGGGAAACUCAAAUAGUGGGUAGUGAUCGACCCAUGAUUGUUGUUAAAAACGAUUGAUGCCUAAAGCUAAAAUUAAUGGCUGCAAGUCAGCAGAGCCUUGCAGCUCUCUUCUCACUCUUGCAGCUAGCGUUCUAGUGCAGAACUAACUACUAAGUAGAGUAGCAACACUCUGUGAACGAUACAAUACUAUUGCACUUUACAAAUGCGGUGUGCUGUGUUUUUGAAUACAAAGCGACAAUCCUCUAGUAAUAUAAUAUCCAGCUAAAUUUUGCUUAGCUAUAAGCCUCAGGGGCGUAGCUACCAUUGUUUCCUGGUUGCCCAGAAACCCCCCCAGGAGCUGCUGAGAAAAUUGGGCAGGGCUCUCCUAUCAAGCAGCCCUGCCCAUCUUUUCUGCAUCGUGGCUGCAAAUCAAUCAUCAGAGCUAGCUAGAGAUGGCACCAUGAAGCGUUUCACUUUGGCUUUGUCUCAGCUAGUCUCAGCUAGCUAGCUACCUCAAAUAAAGAAGACCAAGACUUAAGUUCUAGUAUCAAUCCCAGUAUUCUCAGACUCAGCUCUAAGCACAACUUUAUUCAGGAAGUAUAAGUUUAGAACAAUCUCAGCUACAUGAAACCUCUCAGGUAAAUGACAUUUAAUUGUGCUCAGCUAGACUAGCAAUACACAAUUAAUUAACACCUGCCUUUUAGUAUGUCUAUAGCUAGCUAGCUACACAGCCAAAAAUCCACGGGGCGUGUCAGGUCCGUUACAGGAAGUUUACCACAUCCUGAUACGGGACCGUUGGGGUUAGACACUACUAAACAGGCCGUUCACAUACAGCCUGUAAACUGCCCGUACAAACGGCCUGUAUUCAGCCUGUAUCAUACUUUUCUCAUGCACAAUUUAAUAAGCUAGUAUCAUGCUUCAAAAGGUCACAAUUCAAAGACAAAGAAGACAAGAACAAGAUAUAUAUAUAUAUUAAUUUCUGUUUAGCUACAUUAUGCCUCUCAUUAUCAUGUCCGUGUCUUCACAUCCCCACGGUGGCACUGCAGAUAAAACAACCAGUUGAACCGUACGUUAACGCCACAUAAGUAUACUAACUUACUGUAUUUAUAUUCGUCUUGUUUUUGUGCACAAAGAUAGACUCUGAGGAGAAGAGGCUGGGAAUUAUACAAAAAAUACACCACUGCUUACCGGCGUACUAUGAAGUCAGUGAACAGCUUGAAGGGCCGUUCUUCAUCUCCGAGAUAGCUCGCCAGCUGUACACUAAUAAUACUUAUUCACAUAGAUUAAACUAAGUUGCUUACCAGGCAAUUGUUGCAUUCUCUUUAUCAUUCGUCUAAAAACUUCAAUCUAUGAGGCAUAUAAUGCACCACCAAACACAUACAAAAUAAUGGCACUUACCUAACACAUCCAGACUCCAACUCGGCAUGCCAAUAAAGAAAUCUAUUAAAUAACAUGUGUAACGAGUGCUAAAGAUGAAAACAAUAAACAAACCUUGAGUUUUGCAACAUCUGAAGAAGAGUUAGAAGAUUAAAAGAAGAACACACCACUGUCCACUGUGAAUAAUCUUACCGGCGUACUAUGAAGUCAGUCAACAGCUUACAGUGUGCUGUACACAUUACAAGGGCUCUUUUUCAUCUCGAAGAUAUCCCGCAACUGUACACCAAUACGCUAUUCACACAGAUUACAUACUUGCUGAAUUUUCUUACCAGGAAACUGUUGCUUUAUCUUUAGUUCAUUCUUCUGACAACAUCUAGUGUCUACAGAAGCAAUAACGUAUCACAAACACAACAGAACAGUGGCACUUACGUAAUUAGUCCAGACUUCAACUCGGCAGCAUUAUCUAAAGUCAAUUUGAUUGCGUGUUUAAUAUGUGAAUGCUAGUGAAAGAGAAUAACAAACCUGGGAGCAUUCUUCAACACCUCUUUAUCAAAAGUGAAAAAACUUCAGAUGGGAGCCUACGAUGAGGAGGAUUAUUUCAAAAAGGAAGCAAAACGAAACGUUUACCUUGUAAAAUUGGCCAGUGUUCCAGCUUCAAAAGUCCAUAACAACGUGCAAACCUGAAUUUAUAAACAUACAGUAGAAGUGAAAUUUACAGACCUUUGCUGCCAACUACACUAGAGGUCAAAUUCACUACAGAUUUGAAAUAGCUGUGGAACUAGAGGAACACAAACUGCAUGCUAUGAGAAAGUUCAAUAAAAAUAAUAUAACUGUUUAAUAUAAUAAUAUGCUGCUACAGCUUCACCUUUUUCUGUUCACAGGUAGACUAAUAGUGUAUAGUCCUCUUCAAGUUGUCUUUUUGGACCAGCAGCUCCUCUUGUGACAAGCAGCAGGAUUUUUUCUCAGAGCUCUGUCUGUCUCAUUCUCUUUUUGUAGUCAGGUGACGUCAUCCUGCCCCAAGCUAGCGCAUGCGCAUAAGCUACAGCGCAUAAGCUACAGCUGCAACAGCCUGUAUACAGGACGUGGAUGCUACGCCCUAAUUACAUGCCCGUAUCCACGGGCUGUAAACAGGACGUGGGCUAACGUCCUGUUUACAGCCCGUGAGAACGGCCUGUAUAUAGGCCGUGGGUGGGCUACAUCCUGUAUACAGGCCGUUCACGGGGCCGUAACGGCCCGUUUUCAACUAACGGCCUGAAAAGGACCCGUGGAUUUUUGGCUGUGUAGCUUCUCACAAACAUGUAAAAAAAGUCAAUGAGCAGUAGGUGUGCCCCAAUCAAGAGGGUGUGGCACCGGAAGUGGGCGUGGUCAAAAAUUUCGUGGCGCUACCGCGCCGCUGAUUUUUAUAAGGAAACCCCUGUCUCAAAAGUCUGGCUACGUCCCUGAGCCUAUAGUUCUACAUAGAUCUAACAAAGAAAUAUAACGCACCAUUCACCGCACUAUAAUACAAAGCUAGCAAGCUGCAAAAUUUCAUGAUAACUAUAGCUGCAUGGGUGACCAAAGUAAUUUUAACAACAGAAAAAAGCUCUUAUCUUGAGCGUCCUUUUUAGCGUUUAAUUUGCGCUGUAUGUAUAUUAUGCACGUACUACGUAAACGGAACGGGGACUUUAUAUUUACCAUUUUGUAAGUUCAUAAUUGAUAAAAAUUGCUGCUACAGAAAUCCCAAAUUUCCUUGUGCGCAAAACGAUUUUUAAAACAGUUCUAUUGAUAUAAUAAUUUGCAAGUAUAAUUUUGUGUUCAUGUUACAGUUUAGAAAUUAGGCUGUAGCUGCCUUAGUUUUUUCACUACCAAUUUCUAUAGUGCUUGCUGGAUUGAUGACAGGGUAUAUAGGGUUCUGAUUUCACCAGUAACGUUUCUUGUCUUUACGAGGAACACCGAGAUCCAAUGAUUACCGCUCUCAGUCCAUUGUCUGAAUAUGAGAUGUGUGUUCAGUUGAGGCAGUUCGUGCAGCUAUGAAUGUACUUUGAGAAUGCAGGGACAAUGAUCAUUCUACACAACUUGAUCAUAGCUGCACAACUUGAGUGUUAAACUGGUGACUUCUACAACUCAACCAAGAAUACAGUGUUAUUACAAGUCAAAAAAUUCUCAAAAGCAAAUUCUGUCAUGGCAACCCCAUCGAACUGUGUCAAGGAUGUUACAAUGUUAACAGGACCCGAGCAUAGCUCUCUCUCUGACACUCUCGUGGGCAGGGGACUAUGAGGAGGACACAAAGAGAGAGAGAGAAGAUAAUACUUAUACAGUGACUCACAAAUAUCUAUACUGCAUGUAAUAUUAUAUUACUGCCUCACUUUGUCUAUUCUUUUUUUGCUACUUUCUAUUUAUGGAUGAACAAUAACAAA